ensembl:snRNA
AAAAAGGGCUUCUGUCGUGAGUGGCACACGUAGGGCAGCUCGUUUGCUCUACGUGCGGAAUCGACAUCAAGAGAUUUCGGAAGCAUAAUUUUUGCUAAUGGGGCAGCUGGUGAUCGUUGGUCCUGGCGCCCCC